UACGGAGGGUGCGAGCGUUGUCCGGAAUCACUGGGCGUAAAGGGCGCGUAGGCGGCCUGAUAAGUAGGGGGUGAAAUCCUGCGGCUUAACCGCAGGGCUGCCUUCUAAACUGUCAGGCUCGAGCACAGUAGAGGCAGGUGGAAUUCCCGGUGUAGCGGUGGAAUGCGUAGAGAUCGGGAAGAACAUCAGUGGCGAAGGCGGCCUGCUGGGCUGUUGCUGACGCUGAGGCGCGAAGGCGUGGGGAGCGAACGGG
rnacentral:rRNA from 1 species